GGAUUAGACAGAUGGGAGCAGGUAAAUCCGCGGCCAGGGUGUAACGCAUGGGUCCAUUCUGUUCCAACCUGUCCGAUCAUUCUCCUCCUGAAUUCUGCCCCACACGAACAUGAUCCCCAGUCUCCAUCAACAUAACAUAACAUUGCAGUAGCAAUGGUAGUAGAGAUAAAAGGAGUUGUUUUAUGUGUAAUUUUUUCUGGCGAGCGAACCGUUCCGCCCCUAAAUCCGCUCUUAGUAGCAGUAGCUUAUAAAUUUCUAUAUAUUUCAAGACGUAUCUUUCAUUCCUAACUGCUACCACUACUACCAGUAAAUAUCUACAGAGAGAAGCAAAGGAUAAAAAGCAAACUUUGCCGCAUAUUUCAUAUUAUCCAAGUUUGUAUACUAGCAUUUGUUUGCGCGCUUGUGUUUUUGUUUUAUUUUCCAUAAUAAUAAAGGGGUUUCCGGAAAAUGUCCACUCCGGCGCCACCGUCGCCUCCUGCGCUACCUACUAACACUACAGCUCCUCCUCCUGCUGCUGCUUCGUCUCCAUCACUACCAACACCGGCUCCUCCAGCUCAAGCUCCUCCUUCAAGCCCAACGCCCCCUGCGAUAACUCCGCCUCCGGCCGCCUCUGGUUUUCCGCCAUCUGAAUCUCCUCCCUCCACCACCCCUUCUCCUCCUAAUUCCGGUUCUUCACCUUCACCGCCGAUAAGCGGAGACUCUCCUUCAGCACCUUCUGAGUCAGGAGGAGGGUCUCAGCCAUCACCUAGUGGAGGAGGGCCCUCAACGCCGGUGUCGUCAUCGCCGCCGUCAGGUGGAGGGUCUUCAGGAAUACCGACAGGAGCAGUGGUGGGAAUAGCCAUAGGGGGUCUUGUGAUUCUGGCGGUACUGGCUUUGCUGAUCAUAUAUUGCAAGAGAAAGAGGAAGAGACCAAUAGAUUACUAUAACCCACCUCCACCACCAUUGCCGGUCAAAGCUGACUCUCACUGGCAGCAAAAUGCUCCAUUACGUGGAGAUCAUUUUGCUUCAGUUCCCCUGAAACCAUCUCCAUCACCGGCAGGGGCAGCACGGCCUCCACACUCUCCACUUCCUCCUCAGCCUCUGCCUUACAUGAGCAGUAGUGGAGCAUCAUCGAAUUAUUCUGGAUCUGAAAAUCCACUCCCACCGCCUUCUCCUGAAAUGGCGUUAGGUUUCCCUCAGAGCACAUUCACAUAUGAGGAAUUGGCACGGGCAACUGAUGGCUUCUCAAAUGCAAACCUUCUCGGACAAGGUGGUUUUGGUUAUGUGCAUAGAGGACUCCUUCCUAAUGGCAAAGUGGUUGCUGUUAAACAGCUUAAGGCUGGAAGUAGACAGGGCGAGCGUGAAUUUCAGGCUGAGGUUGAGAUCAUUAGCCGAGUACAUCAUAGACAUCUUGUCUCUCUUGUCGGAUACUGUAUCACUGGAUCUCAGAGGAUGCUUGUCUACGAAUUUGUUCCAAACAACACAUUGGAAUUCCAUUUACAUGAAAAGGGAAGGCCUACAUUGGAUUGGCCAGCACGAUUGAAGAUUGCUCUAGGAUCUGCCAAAGGAUUGGCAUACCUGCAUGAAGAUUGCCAACCUAAAAUCAUACAUCGUGAUAUCAAGGCAGCUAAUAUACUUAUUGACUUUAACUUUGAGGCAAAGGUUGCAGAUUUUGGACUUGCAAAGAUCACUUCUGAUUUUAACACUCAUGUUUCUACCAGAGUGAUGGGAACUUUUGGAUAUUUGGCUCCAGAAUAUGCUUCUUCUGGGAAGCUUUCAGAAAAAUCAGAUGUGUACUCCUUUGGAGUAAUGCUUCUAGAGUUGUUAACUGGACGUCGCCCAGUUGGCUCAAGUCAAUCAUCCAUGGAUGACAGUUUGGUGGACUGGGCAAGACCUUUGCUCACACGAGCACUUGAAGAUGAAAAGUUUGAUACACUUGUUGAUCCACGGUUGGAAAAUGAUUAUAGCCAUAAUGAGAUGGUUCGGAUGGUUGCUUGCGCUGCUUCUUCUGUUCGCCAUUCAGCAAAGCGUCGACCGCGAAUGAGCCAGGUUGUCAGAGCUUUAGAAGGUGAUAUGUCAUUGUCCGAUCUCAAUGAAGGGAUUAGACCUGGACACAGCACAGUCUACAGUUCAUACGGAAGUUCGGAUUAUGAUGCUUCCCAAUACAGUGAUGAUAUGAAGAAAUUUAGGAAGUUAGCACUUGCAAGCCAAGAAUAUGGUAGCACUGAUCAGUACAGUAAUCCCACAAGUGAGUAUGGCUUGCAUCCGUCUGGAUCAAAUAGUGAAGGGCAACUGAGCAAGAAUGGAGAUGAGUAGGAGGACGAAGAAAGAUAAUAGAGGCUUUGAUGGAAGUAAAAGCUUCUGCGAAAGCUCUUGAUGCAAGACAUCCAUCAAAUACUGAUUUUUUUCUUUAACACUUCACAGUGGCAUUUUUUAAAUGUACAGCUAUCUUCUUCAAAUUGCUGUCUUUCCCAAAUUGAAAAUCUUUCUUCUCCUUUGUAUUGUAAUGUCUUAUACAACAAGGAUCUGGUGAUUUAUGCUGUCAAUUCUUUUGUUAAAUGUCUCAGUGUUAUUAUUGAUUGGUUGUUCACAUCUC